CUUGGUCAUUUAGAGGAAGUAAAAGUCGUAACAAGGUUUCCGUAGGUGAACCUGCGGAAGGAUCAUUAUCGAGUUAGGGUCGUUCUGGCCCGAACUUCCAACCCCUUGUUUAUCACACCAUGUUGCUUUGGUGGGCCCGCUCGCUUUUGUGGGCCGCUGGAGGUUAUUGCCUCUGGCCCGUGCCUGCCAGCAGCCUUAUUAAAAUUCUUUUUUAACUGUGUCGUCUGAGUAACUUUUUAAAUUAUUAAAAACUUUCAACAGAGGAUCUCUUGGCUCUUGUAUCGAUGAAGAACGCAGCAAAGCGCGAAAUGUAGUGAACAUAGCAGCACAAUUGUGAAUCAUCGAAUCUUUGAACGCACAUUGCGCCUCCGGUAGCUCGGAGGCAUGCCUGUCUGAGCGUCAUUUAAAACCGUGGACCCAGGAUUGGGUCCGUAUUGGGCGUCGCCCCCCUCUCCAGAGUGGCGCGUGGCCUCAAAGACAUUGGUCUCACAUGCGGACGAGCUCCCCUGGGACAGACCGCGUGGAGACCCUAAGCAUCUGACUUGGAUCUCAGAUCAGGUAGGACUACCGCCUGAACUUAAGCAUAUCAAUAAGCGGAGGA
rnacentral:rRNA from 1 species